CGCCCCCACCCUCGCGCUGAAGGGGCGGGGCCGGAAUGAGGGCGCAUCUUAAAGGAGCCGCGUUAUUAUUUCGUGAGGGGAGUGAGGCUCCGCUGAGAGACAGAGAGAUAAAUAAAUAGAUUAAUAAACAAUUUGAGCUUCUGGUGAAGAAACGGGAACUCGUAUGGAGUUCACAUGGAAUUUACGUGGAAUUCACAUGGAAUUGGUGCGACAAUCCAACCCUCUGGGGCCUUUGGUAAAGGCCGGGGAGCAGCUUUGCCCUUGGAGGAGCCGGUGCUGCCUUCACUGAGCAGGUUGGGAAUGCUGGAAUUCUCCUCCUCAUCCUGCAAGGAAAAUAAUUUCAUGCUUUUAUGUGAAGGAAAACAGGCAAUUCCUUAGGAUAAAAACAGGAUCCAAGCCUGUAUCCUGCUAAAUCCAGCAGCAGUGACCUUGAGGAGGCUGGAGCACAAAGAUGUAAUCUGAAUUUUCUAUCCAAAGUUGGAUUUUUCAUGCAUUUUUGGAGCCCCCAGAGAAUCAUUUCCCCUUCCAUUGGGGAAGGGGAAUAAAAGAUUGGCAGCUCUGUAAGGAUCUCAGACAGGAUUUUAUGGAAUGGGAUUUAGGAAUUUCCAUCUAAAAUCUGCUUUUCCCUUGUUUUUUCCAAGUGGGAAUUCUUUGCUGCAUUCCAAAUCUGAGUGACAGAGAAAUUCAGAGAAAACUGAUUUAUUUUUUUCCCAGGAAAAUUUGAAUUUAUUUGUCUGAAUUCCCUGAUCUCACCCUUGUUUCUAUGGAAUUGUGGAUUUGUGCUUUCUGUGGGAAAAAUUUCUGGUGUUUUUUUCUUGGAGCAGAGGGUUGUAAUGAAAGGAUUUUGUUUUACUUCCCAAACACCACCAAUGAAUGAGUUUCUGAAACAAGGGAGGAGCUGCAGUUUCUCCUGGAAUUCUGAUUUCCUCCUCAUCUCCCGUGGCUGAAGUUGUCCCACCCUGAAGAAAAGGAGCUGAAGUUCCAAAAAAAUUCCGCUGGAGAUCCCCUGAGCUGAGCUGAGCCCUCCCUGCUGCUCCUCUGGCUGGAAGAUCUCACUUCCAACACUCCAGCGUGGAGAUGUUUCCCUUGGAAAGCUCUGGAAAGGCUGGAAUCUCUCCAGCCUGAGGCUGUGAAUGCUCGUUCCCACAGCCAGGAUGUUCUGUUGGGCAGCAAAAUCCCCUCGUUUUUACCAACUCUGCCAAAUUCCAGCCAAAAUAGGGAAUUUUCACUUGUAAAACAGCAGCAACUUCAGCUUUUAUGAGAGAAUGACCUUGACUGCAAUGCUUAGCACUGGAUCUCCUCCUCCUCCUAUUCCUCCUCCUCCUCCUUCUCCUUCUCCUCCUCCUCCUCCUUCUCCUUCUCCUCCUCCUCUUCCUCCUCCUACUCCUCCCUCUCCUCUUCUUUUUCCUCCUCCUCCUCCAGAGCCUGAAAAUUUUCAUAAUUCCCACAACACAAAAUGUUACCACUGGAAUUUUUUCCUUUCUCCAUCCCUUUUAAUUUCCAGGGCAAUGUUUUGACUUUUCCAGGUGUCUCCAAGCGCGAUUGGUAGCGCUGCUUUGGGACAGAAUCCAGGCCCAGCAACUGCUUCUUGCUGGAUUAAUAGUAGCUAAUUAAAAUGAAAGCAAUUAACUUGAUGGGAAAUCAUCUCAGACUGCCAACCUGAGCUUUACAAAUCUUUUCUUGCAACCAUUUUCCCACAUUCCCAAAUAAUGCUGGGAGGAUCAACUCACAUCCCGAGUUGGUUUUAUGUACUCGGUGCAGGAACCUGGGAGAACUGAUAAGAAAUUAAGUAAUUCCUGAUUAAAUCCUCAAAGGAAAACAAAAUCUGGUUCUUUACUGGGAUUUUGGAUCAUUCUGCUCCUUGAGGCAGUUUUGAUUUCUGUUUGCUGGAAAAUGAAUUCAAAGGAAUAUUUUUGUCCAUCCUCAUCCCUGAUGAAACAAGGAGUUUGUCUCCUUUUGGACACUGGAUUGAUCCUUAAUCCUGACUUAAAACCCAGCUUUUCCUACCCAAAAAUCUCCAGUUCAAGAGUCACAGCCACCAACACAACCCUUCCAUGAGCUACAUCCCAGGAAAAGCCUGGAAUUCCUUGACCACUUGUGGUGGUGCAUCCCUCCAGCUUCUCCUUCCUUGGAGCUGCUCUGGGGCCUCAGGAAUUCCCACCUGGAUGGGGAAGGAAUUUGAGCGUGGAAAAACGGGAGAAAUUUUCCAUACCAAGACUCCCGGUUUCCUGAGCAAGGAAUUCUUGAGAAGAAAGGCAAAGUCUUCCCAGAUCCAAUUUUCUUUACCAAAACCCGAGAUUAUCGAGCACAGCUCUGGCACAAAGUGCUGUGAGCCCUGCCCUGCUGAUUGUUUUUCACAACUCUCAUCCAGUGGGAUCCCAGCCCAUCCAGGGAAUCUGGGAGAGCCCAAAGCUGGAUCAGAACUCCCACAUUUCCAUCCAAGGAGCCGAGUUGGGGAGGAUUUGUUGUGUGCAGGAUCUGUGGGAUCCCGGGAAUGCUGUGGGACGGAGCCUGACUGCAGGAGCUCUGCAGAUCUUCCAGGGCUGGAUCACAGCUUGUUUUCCAGUGCUGAGGUUUGUGUGCAUGCUCCAGCGCUGGGAUUCCUGAUCCCAAGGACACGGAAUUCCACCAGAUCCAUGGCCAGCCAUGGGAGGGAGGAGCUGCAUCCCCCCAGGACACAGUGAUUCCCUCGGAAUGAGGGAGCACUCCCUCAUCUCCUGACGGGAUUGCAUCUCUUCCCAAUUAUUGCAUCCCUUCCCAAAUAUUGCAUUCAUUCCCAAAAUAUCCCAUCCCUUCCCAAAAUAUUCCAUCCCUCCCAAUCUGUUCCAUCCCUUCCCAAGGUAUCCCAUCCCUUCCCAAAAUAUC